ACAAGCAAUAAUAUUGCAGUGGUCUGAUAGCUGAUUGGAUGGUACAAGGAUUAUCGGUGGGCUGCUGCUGCUGACCUGAUUUUCCAUUCAUCCAUGGGAGGGGAAUAUCCAUCACAUAAGCAUCAAUUCAAAGAUGUCUUUAUCCUAAAAGGAUCAGAUUCCAUAACUAGUCACACCAAUUCAGAAAAGGCGAGGAAGCAAUGCAUAAACAUCCCUCUCAAGCUACCAGCUAAAAGAGAAAGAAGCUUCAUUGACAUUCGAGCCAAAAGUGCACGUUUAAAACUGCAGAAAAAACAUUUUCUAUAAGAAACAUAGACAAGAAACAAAGGAUCAUGUCUCUAUCUAUCAAUGAUAUUGAACAGUUACAGGAGGCACAAGCAUUCAGGAAGUAUUAUUAUUAUACCAGCCAAACCUUCAUUGGUUGCAGCAUUUGGGACUUAGAUUAGAGACACCUAAACAUCAAUGUAUACCCUUUCCAUCCACUCAAGAUAUUAAUCAGACAGCAAAGUCAGCCAAGAGUAUUAGGAGCCAUAGCAUAGGAAGAAACAUUUUCUUUCGGGACAGAUGUAC
rnacentral:lncRNA from 1 species